rnacentral:rRNA from 1 species
CCUACGGGAGGCAGCAGUGAGGAAUAUUGGUCAAUGGACGCUAGUCUGAACCAGCCAUGCCGCGUGAAGGAAGACGGCUCUAUGAGUUGUAAACUGCUUUUAUACGAGAGUAAACUCCGAUACGUAUAUUUGUCUGCAUGUAUCUUACGAAUAAGGAUCGGCUAACUCCGUGCCAGCAGCCGCGGUAAUACGGAGGAUCCAAGCGUUAUCCGGAUUUAUUGGGUUUAAAGGGUGCGUAGGCGGUCGGAUAAGUUAGAGGUGAAAUCCCGAGGCUCAACUUUGGAAUUGCAUGUGAUACUGACAGGCUAGAGAGCAGUAGAGGUAGGCGGAA